GGUUUCACCUAUGCACAAACCGUCCCUCACUUACCCACUAUUCUCUCAUUUUUCCAUAUCUCAGAUCCCUUCCAUGUUCUUUCUCUCUUUCUUUCCCUCUCGUCCUUUCUCUCUUUCUUUCUCUCUCACUCGAUGGGUUUCCUUCUUCCUCCUUUUCUUCCUUCUUCAUCUUCUGCUUCCUUUUUUCUCUUCUUUCUGAGCCGUAAUGAUACUGUCAAAGUUCUUCCAAUAACAAAUCAAGAUCAUGUAACAUGUUGCUAACGAAACCCUAAUUGAAGCCAAUAAAAUUAUUGAACUCAAUCAUACAGAUGCGAUUUCAUAUCUUUUGGUAUUUGAUUUGACUGAUUGAUGUUGUUUUUCACAGGAAUUGGACAUUGGUAGCUUAACCGGUGUUGAGCUUCUUAAAUAUUUGUCUGGUUUUUGAAUUCAAGUUUUAUAACAAGCUUUGAGUUUUGAAGAUUGUGUAGAUUCGAGAAUUUUGAGUUUUCGCUCUUUAGAGAGUUAGUUGUUCACUGGAGAUUGGAUCUGUAAAUGUUUGGCUCUUGCAAAAAGAUUGUCAUUCUUACAGUGCUAGAGAUAAGAAAGCUAUCGAGGAAAGAUGUGAGCAGGUCUGCAGUUGAAAAUUGAACUUUAGAGGAGAAAUUACAGAAAUAUUGGCCAAGCUUUCGGGGGUGUUGUUGUGCUUAAGAUUCAAGAAGCCAAUGAUGCUGAAGUUGGUAAGAAAAAGGAUAGAGUAACAAAUGUCUCUGGUAUCCUCCUUCCGUCGUGCCUCCAUCUCCGUCCUCUGGUCUCCUCCCUUCGUCACAAUUGUAGCAGUUGCAGCACUUUGUGUUCGGUAUGAAGCAUAUUUCAAAUAGUUUUUGGUGAUGUAUGAGUUAUGAUCCGAUUAGAAAUAAUAUCAUGUUAUAUAGUGAUGAUUUUGGACCAAUAUCUGAAUUGAUUGAUUUUAUGAACAUGUAGAUUUUGAUUUGGUUAUUAUCCCCUUCUCUUUUGCUCAAUUUCUAUGGCAACUCUUCAGUUUUUGUUUUAAGCUUUUGUUUUUUUCUUUUGGGCUGGAAUAUAUAUUCUUUAUUUAAUAGUUAUCUAUUUGUAUGUGAACUCCUUGUAUGGUAUGUCCUGUUUUGUAUUCUUAAUUCAAAGUUAUUACGGAGAGGUUGUUCGAGGAAGAAAUUGAUGGUUUGAAAAAGUUAUUCAGGAUGGUUGAUGCUGACAGUAGUUCAAUGCCCUUUGGUUGGUACCUUUUAUUAUGGUAUUCCUCAUCUCAUAUUUUUGUUGUUGUUUUACAAGUUAAGCUUGAAAUUACCUGUUGCUUGCAAGUUACGUCUAAUGGAAGGUUACAAGUCUCCUUUGACAAUUGGGUUGUGUACUGCGACUAUGCCUUUUCCUAGGAGGAAGAUUAUUACCUUGGAUGACACUCUUUCCAUGGGAACCGUUUCAACUUGUGACCACUCCAUUGAAUGAAAAAUCGUGACAAGUGGACGGGGACUGAGUGGAAAAAUUAUUGAAAUGACAUUCCUAGGAACAAUCAAGUUUGCACCAUGGAAAAACCAAGUGGUUCCUUCCUCUAGGCCACCUUUUGGAACGAUUGUUGACGAGGAUAAUUAUAACGAGGCAAAAAAUGCUAGCAACAUGGUUAAUGAAGAACAUUUGAUGGAGAAAAUGAACAAGGAUCUUCCUCCCGUUGAUCUAGAGGAGCCAUUUUGCUGGCUAGCAUGCAAUUAUGCUAAAGUAUCAUUCAAGAUUGUCGGGGCAUCAGUAUCUGGAAUUUCCAUUGAUUCGAAAUUUUUAAGCAUCUAUCCAGGUGUAAAAGCAUCAGUCGAGUUUUCACGGCAGGUAUUUGUUUGUUUUGUGUCUGUAAUAUCGGUGAUUCAUAUUUUAAGGAAACCCAAAAAAUUUCGAUUCUUCCUGUGUCAAUGAUAUAUAUUCAUUAUCUUGUACUAUUUAUUUUCCUAGGUUACUUCUGAGACUAUAUUUUAUGGAAUACUCUUAGUAAGUGCCCACAUGUUGCUACAGUGUGAACAUUAGAAUGGCAGUGGAUCUGAAUCUAAUCAGAGAUGGCAUCAUCAUAUAUUUAUAGAAACUCUGAUAAUGUUUUUUAGUUCUUUGAUCCAUUAAGCAGAUUGGCUUGCUAUAAUUUUUUGCCACUUGAGUCCUUAUGCAGAUGGCCUCUCUGGUAAUAAAUAAUCAAACAAUUGGACUGUAUCUUCAACUACACUCUUUAGAUUUCAUUUGCAACGAUGCAUGUCACGCUUGUCCAAUUUUUAAUGUUCUGUCUCUUUACGCUGAUUCGGUUGUCUUUACGCCAUUUUUUCUUUUAAGCAUGUCUGUCUCCUUAAUCCGCAGGGCACUCACAACAGUUGAAUUGAGAAAGAAAUUGCUUGGAAAGAGAUUAUCUCCUAAUGCAAAAUACAAAUAUUUUUCAUUCUUGAUAUGGGCUGCAGCUGGAGAUAUAUUACAUUUUUGCAUACUUGGUAUUGAACUAUAUGAGUUAUGGUUAUCAUUAUUUAUUUUUUGUUCUCUUUGUUCAGCAUAGAAGUUAACUACUACUACAUGUGACACUUGCAAUUGUCUCUUAGUAUACCUGCAUGCAUAGAACACCAUUUCUGUUGGAAUAUAUUUCAUGUCAUUAGCUAUCUAGGCUUAAUAGGUACAAACCAUGAAUUUCAUACUCUUUGAUAUUGUCAAAACUGGAAAUUUAGUCAUACAACCUAAGAUUAUUGGACUGUGGUAGUUAAGCUUCUUAAUCUUCGCAUGUUUUAUUUAAUGUUCUCAAAGAUUGCUAUAUCAUGCCAAGAUGGUUGUUGAUGACCGACACACCUAUUCAGAACAACCUUUAUGAAUUGUGGGCGUUGAUGUAUUUUUGCAUGCAUUAUGUGUUUGGGUCACUAAAUCAGCUCCUUUCUACAUUCAAGGAAAUCAGAGAGAUCUUACAUUUGAUCUCGAUCCAUUUGAUUCUAUUGCAACAACUGCAUUGGAUUUUGAAAUGUGUUCAUGGAUGAAAGUGACACUGAUAUUACUGGACCAGAAACUCUAGGGAUGCAGCCUCUUGCUUCUCAUGCAAAGCAGAGUCGAGAGUAUGUGUCCAAGCUUUCUUCCUUGCUAAAUUUUGGAAAACAAGUCAGAUUUCUCGAGGAUUCAAUGGCAUUGGACAUGAAGAAAGCUGAGUUAGAAGUGUUUAUCAAGUUUGAAUGGCUUGAUCCUUCUUGAAUAAGAUUGGCAUAUUCUGCUACAGCGGUAUGACACCAGAACAAGUCGAUCAUUUGACAAGCGAGUUUCACAUUUACAGCCUUUAUCAUUUUUUGUUGUUUGAUGUUGUUAGUUUUUUUUAGCAUUUGUUUGAUUUUGUUAAUGAUUGUUAUUAUUUUCUUUUUGGUCUCAGUUUUGAAUCUAGGAUCUAUUCAAAUUUUGGGAAUGACUAAGUCGAUGGAUAUUCUUCCAAAGGGCGGGUUCAGUUUUGACCUCUGCAGAAGAAAUGUUAUGCUUGAGAAGAAGGGUCUCAUACCUCCUACUUCUCAUCAAUGUUAAGCAUAUUCUGUUUUUUAGCAUAUCAAGUUGCAAGAGUGUGAGUUUUUUAGCAAAUCCUGAGUAUCCGUAACUUGCCUGAGACAAUUGAAUACGUGACUAUGAAUCACGACAUUAAAUCACGUUGUGCAUCAACCACUUGUGCUAGACCACUUGUGCCAGACGUGGAUAUUUCAACAUUAUUACUACUACAAAAGCAGUCUAUCAUCAAAUUACUGGAUCCUUUGGAAAUAAUGCAUUCAGACUUAGCCACAGUUUCAAAUGAAAGCUUAUUUUAUAGAAUCUGCAUGGUGUCUUUAUAGAAUCCGCAUCUUCAAUUGUAGCAUAUUCAUGUUCAUUUCUUUUAAGCAAUAUUAGUUCAUAAUUUCUUUGUUC